rnacentral:misc_RNA from 1 species
AAGAGUCCGAGCAACAUAGCUCCUUCGUUGAUCAUACAAUCAACAAAUAUGACGUUUGUGCUAUCUUUACAUGGUUUCGGUUAGUGCUAAAAGGUUAACUGUUAUGGUCCCCUGUCGUGGAUCUAUGUAUGGGUCGCUACAAGAUAAAUUGUGAUGUUUUCUUCCUACGACCUAUGGUGCUGGUUCAUUAAGAUAGAAUCUGCAAUCUCGAGUUAAUGUACUCAAAAACUUUAGAAUUAUUUUAUGCUUAGAUUUUCUUGAAUUAACAACGUU